rnacentral:rRNA from 1 species
UACGAGGGGGGCGAGCGUUGUUCGGAAUUAUUGGGCGUAAAGGGUGCGUAGGCGGUUUGGUAAGUCUCUUGUGAAAUCUAUGGGCUCAACUCAUAGUCUGCAAGGGAAACUGCCGGGCUUGAGUGUGGGAGAGGUGAGUGGAAUUUCCGGUGUAGCGGUGAAAUGCGUAGAUAUCGGAAGGAACACCUGUGGCGAAAGCGGCUCACUGGACCAUAACUGACGCUGAUGCACGAAAGCUAGGGGGGCAAACAGG